GACCANAAGGCUUGCUUCUUGUGUUAUCGGCAACGGUUGAGUAACACGUAGACAACCUGCCCGGAAGUGGGGGAUAACAGCCCGAAAGGGCUGCUAAUACCGCAGCGUGGCCGAAGAGGGCAUCCUCUUUGUGCUGAAGGGAGGCGCAAGCCUUUCGCUUCCGGAUGGGUCUGCGGCCUAUCAGCUAGCUGGUGGGGUAACGGCCUACCAGGGCAUCGACGGGUAGCUGGUCUGAGAGGAUGACCAGCCAGACGGGGACUGAGACACGGCCCCGACUCCUUCGGGAGGCAGCAAUGAGGGAUAUUGCGCAAUGGGGGAAACCCUGACGCAGCGACGCCGCGUGGGCGAGGAAGUCCUUCGGGAUGUAAAGCCCUUUUGCAGGGGAAGAACGGUAGGGGUAACCCUACUCUGACGGUACCCUGCGAAUAAGCCCCGGCUAACUACGUGCCAGCAGCCGCGGUAAUACGUANGGGGCAAGCGUUGUCCGGAUUUACUGGGGCGUAAAGAGCGCGUANGUGGGCGCGCAAGUCUGGUGGGAAAGCCCCGGCUCACUGGGNAAAUCGCUGGAACUGCGUGUCUNGAGGGUGAUAGAGAAAUGAAUUCCCGUGUANCGGUGAAUGCGUAAAUUCNGGAGAA
rnacentral:rRNA from 1 species